CCUGCUGGAGGUCAGCCCUGACCUGUGGUGGGCGGGGCUUAGUUGGUCCAACUUCCUGGUCCCGCCCAGGAAGUCGUUAAGGGUACGGACCACAGGUGUGUCUCCUCUGGAGAAAUGUUUGGAGCAACAUUCACCUGCAUGUGGAUUCAGUCCUCAGCAGCUCAGAACCAGAACCAGGAAACCCGCAGAACUAAAGGUAUCUGCAUAGCGACGCUGCGUCGGUUGUAA
rnacentral:lncRNA from 1 species